CCAAUUGAGCGUGCUGCUCGUGCUGGCAGCUCGUGCCGUCGAAAUAUAACAUCGCCGAUCGAUCAGAGUCAGUCGGUCAUUCAGUCAUUCAGUCACUUAGUCACUCAGUCAUUUGAUCAGUCGAGCUCUGAAUUCGUUAUGUCUAUGACUUCUGCAGACCCCAUUGGUCCCCUAUUGACACUCCACCCCCGCCCAACGCGAAUCGCCUGUUUAUCUUUGGCAGUCGAGCCUACUUGAGUGCCGGGCCAAUCCAUGGCAGCGAGUCAAUAACACUUGGGAAAUUGACCAAGUCCCCCCCAAAGUUCUUAUCACAAGGAGCGUGACUGUUCCGCCGCCGCAGGUUUUUGCCCCUUGCCGCCGUCUUAUCAUGAGAUCCAAAACCCGUGCUCGCCACGGUUGUACACAUAUGGCAUACAUGUAUAUAUCAUAUAUUUCGAAAUGUAGGGGGACGUCAGCCGCCCUUAUCAGGCAAAUAUAUAUAUAUAUAUA